UACGUAGGGUGCAGGCGUUACUCGGAAUUACUGGGCGUAAAGCGUGCGUAGGCGGUCUUUUAAGUCAGAUGUGAAAUCCCCGGGCUUAACCUGGGAACUGCGUUUGAAACUGAAAGGCUAGAGUGUGGCAGAGGGGAGUGGAAUUCCACGUGUAGCAGUGAAAUGCGUAGAUAUGCGGAGGAACACCGAUGGCGAAGGCAGCCGCCUGGGAUAACACUGACGCUCAUGCACGAAAGCGUGGGGAGCAAACAGG
rnacentral:rRNA from 1 species